rnacentral:rRNA from 1 species
GACAGAGGGUGCAAACGUUGUUCGGAAUUAUUGGGCGUAAAGCGCGUGUAGGCGGCUUUGCAAGUCGGGUGUGAAAGCCCUCAGCUUAACUGAGGAAGUGCGCCCGAAACUGCAUGGCUUGAGUACCGGAGAGGAUGGUGGAAUUCCCGAAGUAGAGGUGAAAUUCGUAGAUAUCGGGAGGAACACCGGUGGCGAAGGCGACCAUCUGGACGGAUACUGACGCUGAGACGCGAAAGCGUGGGUAGCAAACAGG